UCCCUGGUGGCUCAGAUGGUAAAGCAUCUGCCUGCAAUGUAGGAGACCCGGGUUCGAUCCCUGGGUUGGGAA
rnacentral:tRNA from 1 species